rnacentral:rRNA from 1 species
UCCGCAGGCGGGCAAUUAAGUCAGGGGUGAAAUGGUACGGCUCAACCGUAGCACUGCCCUUGAUACUGGUUGUCUUGAGUCAUAGUGAAGUGGCCGGAAUAUGUAGUGUAGCGGUGAAAUGCAUAGAUAUUACAUAGAACACCGAUUGCGAAGGCAGGUCACUAACUAUCGACUGACGCUGAUGGACGAAAGCGUGGGGAGCGAACAGGAUUAGAUACCCUGGUAGUCC